AGUUGAGCUGAGAAACCAAGACCACCUCUGCCAGUGGGCUUGAAUCUGCUAGACAUCCCUUUCCCUCCCAUUUAUGUUGCACAGUCUCUUUUCCCAUAAUGUGGGGCAGAUUUCCCAUAAUGUGACUGUUAGUGCAUUGGCAAGUAAUGAGUGUUAAGUUGUGUGAUAGACGUUUGGCCAGAGAUUGUCAGACGGGCAUCCUCUGCAUCAUCUUCUGCAAACAGUUCAAGAGAAACAAUUGUGGUAGGGGCCAUUUUGGGCAUGUCCUCUAAGAGAAAAAUUACAGGAGGUAAUUUUGCUGCCUCUGGACUGGCUUAUCUGACUUUUGUAUCCCUUUGUGGUAGAGCAAGCCCUUGUCUUUUAAUCAAUUUAAAGAGUGAGUCAGGGCAAGAGGAGUCUAUUUCCAUAUUAACCACUAUGAGUCAAAGUAAAAAUGAAUGUAAGAUUAGUUGUUUUGCUUAAGUAACACUGUCCAAUCUGAUUAAUAAGUACCCUUCUGUUGACCUCAAAAUAUGCUGUAAAACUUCUUCAAGAUAAGGACCAAAAAAGGUACCAAGACACUUCUGCUGUUCUUAUAUUUGUUUAUUGUACUUCUGCUCCACUUUCCUGCCAACGGGUUUUCAAAGGAGAAAACUGUAGGACAAAUUAAAGGAAAUAAAAAUGAUUUUUAGAGAAAAUGCUGGACGCUCAGCAGUGGAGUGUAUAUGAAACCAAAGUUUUGCUAUGUACUUUCUUCUAAUACAGAGAUUCCCAUCUCAACAUAUGGGUUGCUGCCCUGCUGUGUAUAGAGAAGCAAUGUCCUCAUGGCUGAACCCCUGAAGGGAUAUAGUAUACUUACACAUGAGAGCUUAAAACAUCCUAUGCAGAGGUUUAAAAGGUCAAGCCCAAAAGCUGUUAGCACCAAGGAAUAUUCAAUCUGGAAACUGAGAAAGGGAAAAGAAGAUAAAGGAGGAGAGAAGACAUUUCUUAUAAAUACUCUAAACCCAUCAUCGGUUUUCAUCGUUGUUCUGUUAAUUAUUAUAUUGCAUUUUUGAGUCGCUUGACGUGGGGUGAUGUGAAUCUGCUGCACAGCUCUGCAAGUAGCAAGGAGUGACAGCUCUGCACACUCUAGCCAUGCAUUCUGAGUGAAAGGUAGAGAUACAAGCUGUGCUGAAAGCCUUUUGCCCCAAGAAUGAGGAAAAGCUGCUCUUUUGUCCUGUUCUGCUUUUUCAGGAAUCAGCAACAGCCCUCUUUCAGAUGAUGUAUGAUGGAAGGGUCAAUCUCCUUUUCAGUCUAAGCUUUUCUAUGUAGUGCUGUUUGUCUCAUUUAUUGGCAGUGAUCAGCAGCUUUGUUCAGUGUAUGUGGGACACUUGCUGCAGACUAUUUACAAACAUAAGGGGGAAAAAGGGUGUUGGUGGUGUUUUUGAAUUCCGUAAGUUCUCCUUUUUUGCUGUGUCUAAUGAGUAGCUGAAAAACAAAAUGGGUGUUUUAUUUCCUGAUGAGAGCACAUAUUUGUCUGAAAUAACUUAAAUUGUUUAUUAACAUGAAUCCAUUUGAACAUUUCUUUUUCAGGCACCAUGUGAAAGCUCUUAUUUCUUCCAUGAUGGAUAUUUGUCAUCAGGUCAUGUGAAUGUUCUGGCGAACCAAAGGAUGGAUUGUUCUGUUUUGCCUGCUUGGAUUGUGAAAUAGGAAUAUCCAUAACAUGACAGGGCAUGAAAAAGCCUGAAAUGAAUUAAGGGUGUACUUUAAUGAAUGGGCUUUUCAUUUAGCGGAUUCUUUAUAAAUAACUGUGGUAAAUUCUCUUUCAAUAAAUCCGAAAGGAUGGUUGACACAUACAUUUUAUAUGGGUGGGUACUGGCAAACUAGAACAGAUCAUCAUUCCAGAUAGACCACUUUUUCAAAUAUGUGUUCUAGCUAUUAUAUUUCAGCUGGAAGAAUUGCUCCAGUGUAAAGCCAAUACAAUAUGUACUAUGUUUAGUCUGAUUAUCUCAGCUCAAAACCUGGACAGAUGAGAACAUUCUCAAGAUGGAUGCUCCAGGAAUCAUCAAACUGAUGUGGAUCUCUCAGGCUUCACAGUAAAGUGGGCAGGUUUCUAUCUGCUGGUUUAUUUGCUAAGUUGUGCCGAUGAUAGCAGAGCCAAUGGAUAUUCCAUGCUAAAGGUGGAAGAACUGAGCAGGCAUAUACAAGUAAAACAUGUGAUAAUGCCUAGUGCUCCAUUGAAAUCUGUGCAUGUAUUCAGGUGCUGAGUCCCUCUAGGCAAAAGUUGCACCUGACUGUUUUUCAAGUUUUAAACCAUAAACAAAGAUAACACCUACAAUCCAUUCCUUAAGAGAAAAUUGAAGAGAUCUGUAUCUAAAUGUGAGUAUGAUGGAAAAUGUUGUGACUGUGCAUCUGUUGUAAGUAUUUGAAAACACUGAAUUUUGCCAAGGCAACUGUGCCAGAAAAUGUGGGUCAUUAGAAAGCAAGAUCUGUAAGGAAGCAUGGCCAGUAAGUGGGAUCAUUUUUCUUUUCUGAUCUUUUCAGGAAGUACAGCAGUUAAGGGUAAAUGUACUAUUUGUUCCUUAAGGGCUUACUAACCCAUUUGAAACAGAACCCGAUGUCCAUCUAGACAACUAAUUUCCUAUGAUGAUGUAGGCUUACAUCACUUUUUGCUUUCAGAUGCAUCUCAAAGAGUACCACCAGUGUCCAUGUGCCAGUUUGCGUGGGAAUAGUUUAAGACAACUGAUGCUUGCUGUGUGCUCCUGUUCACGUUAGGGAAUACUGGAGUUGAGCCCUAUAAUCCCAACCCCAAAUAAACAUUUGAGAUUCCUGAUUGCUGGCAGGUUCCUAAAAAAGUCAGGACAUCCAAUGCUAGUAUGGAGAAAUGUUUUUGUGGGAUAUAUGGCAAGAACACUCUUAGUGAUAUCAGUGCCCCUUGCCUGUGGCCACUUUUUUAUUGUUGAAAGUGUUAGUGUGAUUUUUUAGUCCUUGGUGAUCCUUUUGUAUUUUGUAUUAACCUGCUGUUAAGCAUCUAGUUCCAGCUACAGAUACUGACUCAUAACUGGUGAAACACCUCCUACUGCUUGGUGAGGCAAUGGACUGUGAACAAACUUGCUGUCAUCAAUCAAAAUGAUUUCACAAACUUGUUCCUGACUUUUGUUGGCCCUGUGAUUUCAGAGCUGAGAAUGCAAAGCAGAAGCUGUGUAGCUUGGGGCUGAAAGUUUGGAUCGAGCUGUUGUCUUCAGGCUGUAAAUUCAUGCCAAGUACUCCCCAACAGCAUUCUUCUCUGCCCUCCCAAAUCACUCAGAGAGCAAACAAACUUUUCCUUGAGUCAUUGAUUUCUACAAGAAAGCAUCUGUGUUUAUUACAUAUGAAUGAAGAAUGGCUAGACUGCACAUUUUACAGCUUGCAUCUCUCCAGUGAAAGCUAUAAGUAAGAUCUUGGUCAGCAGAAAGCUACUUUCUCACCUGUGUAUUUUGAUCUGUGAACAGGACUUCUCCCUUCCCAGAUAGGGUACUGCUGUGCUGGGUAGGGAAAACUGCCUGGCAGUUUUCUAACUAUCUCCUCUGAACUCAUAAAGCUCUGGGACAUGUUGUGCUAUCUGUAACUGGUUUUACUGCCUGGAUGAAAAGCUUUUGAUGUAAUGAACAGUGUACACAAUGCA